AUGAGGUGCCUAGCUGAGUUCCUGGGGCUGCUUGUGCUCUGGAUCCCUGGAGCCAUUGGGGAUAUUGUGAUGACUCAGGCUGCACCCUCUGUACCUGUCACUCCUGGAGAGUCAGUAUCCAUCUCCUGCAGGUCUAGUAAGAGUCUCCUGCAUAGUAAUGGCAACACUUACUUGUAUUGGUUCCUGCAGAGGCCAGGCCAGUCUCCUCAGCUCCUGAUAUAUCGGAUGUCCAACCUUGCCUCAGGAGUCCCAGACAGGUUCAGUGGCAGUGGGUCAGGAACUGCUUUCACACUGAGAAUCAGUAGAGUGGAGGCUGAGGAUGUGGGUGUUUAUUACUGUAUGCAACAUCUAGAAUAUCCUUU